AUUAGCUAGUUGGUGAGGUAAUGGCUCACCAAGGCGACGAUCCCUAGCUGGUCUGAGAGGAUGAUCAGCCACACUGGAACUGAGACACGGUCCAGACUCCUACGGGAGGCAGCAGUGGGGAAUAUUGCACAAUGGGCGAAAGCCUGAUGCAGCCAUGCCGCGUGUAUGAAGAAGGCCUUCGGGUUGUAAAGUACUUUCAGUUGUGAGGAAGGGGGUAACGUUAAUAGCGUUAUCUCUUGACGUUAGCAACAGAAGAAGCACCGGCUAACUCCGUGCCAGCAGCCGCGGUAAUACGGAGGGUGCGAGCGUUAAUCGGAAUUACUGGGCGUAAAGCGCAUGCAGGUGGUUCAUUAAGUCAGAUGUGAAAGCCCGGGGCUCAACCUCGGAACUGCAUUUGAAACUGGUGAACUAGAGUGCUGUAGAGGGGGGUAGAAUUUCAGGUGUAGCGGUGAAAUGCGUAGAGAUCUGAAGGAAUACCAGUGGCGAAGGCGGCCCCCUGGACAGACACUGACACUCAGAUGCGAAAGCGUGGGGAGCAAACAGGAUUAGAUACCC
rnacentral:rRNA from 1 species